GUGGUAAAAUUCCCCUUCUGUAGAGAAAAACAACAAAACAUAACCUGGCCUCCUUUGGCAUGAUUCACAGCAUAGCAAGAGUCAUAGUGUCCUUCCUACCUUGUGCACCUACACUCCCAUUCUUCUUCUUAUGCCUAUUUUAUGCAUCAUCGUAUACUCGUGACAAAUUUCAGGGGAGCAGACCUAGUCAGAAAAGUCAGCUUAGUAUACAAGCAAGUUUUUUCCACACAACUGAGAGUAAAACUGACCAGGAAAAUGAAGAGGAAAAAAAUUCUAACAUUACCUGUGUUUCUCAACUGCAGGAACGAACAGCUGGUCAAACUACAGAAGCAAAACGUGAAGUGAGGCUGAUGGAUAAGAAACAUUAGUUCAUCUGUGAAAGUGCUUGCUACAGUUCAGUAGUGGAGGAAGGCAACAGCUGGUCUGCGCAUUUGUGAGUGAGCAGCAUUUAAUAAGAGAAGAAAAGAAGGAAUAAUGUAACUUGAGGUGAGUCUUGGUGACAAUGUGAUCCAGCAUAGAAAGAAUUGCCUGCUGCUAUGGAAAUCACUUGUGUGAGGUGCUAAACAGAGCAAGCCAAUUACGUAUCACAUUGAAGAGAAAAAGAAAAGAAAAAGUAUGCUUGAAGGUAGAUAUGAGUCUUUCCAGGAAACCUCUUUGAUCUGCAUGAUGAUUUUGUCCUUUAAACUCUCAAAUUGUGAGCAAACAACAUGAAAAUGACACUAGUGAGAUAUUUUUCAUCAUUUUCAGCAAUCAUUAUAGUUUAUCUCAUCUGUUUAUAUUAAUAACCCUUUGCAAUUCUGACACUGAAAUCUGUUUUUUCCUAAGAGUGUUCUCCUCAAUCACCCAUGCACAAACAUCCAGUUAAUGGGAGGCUGUUGACAGGGAAAUUAGCUUCUAUCCUCCUCCCCCCUCCUCUUUUUUUUUUUUUCUUUUGGUUUGUUUGUUUCAUUUUGUUUUAUACCAGCAAAAGAGAUGAGGCACUCUGUCUUGAGGAAUUCAUGCAAGGACACUCAGCACUGGAAGUGGCUGAAAGAUGUCUGGGAUUUGCAUUCCAUAGCCUGAGCCUCACAGCCAUAAGGGGAGAGCAGAGACAGGGGGAAAGAAAGAAAGUCAGAACGGUGUGAUGUUGGUUUUCUCUGCACAGUGGAAGAAAGAUUGGCCUUAUAUGAACGUUUGUAGGACUUUGUGGUCUUCUGCAUGGAAGAGUACUUUCCUCUAUUAAAAUAACUUUUAGCCCAUCUUGACUUCCUUCUACAGGAUCUACCCAAAAAUGCACACAUGGAACUUAAAGUCUGGAAACACAUUUUCUUCACCUCAAACCAGGAAUGGCUUCUCAGUUAUUGCUCAGGGGAUAGAGGAAAGGGACAAUGAUGAUUUAGAAAUGGGUUGAUCCUGGAAUUGCACAUUUUUCAUGGAAGGAGCUAAUUACUACAGUGCUUUUACUGUGCUCUGGUGAUCCAUCAUUUGCUUUUCUUUAGCUGCUUCAAUGCAAAUUGUCAUAAUUGUUAUGACUGUGUGCCUGAAAGAAGGAAUUAUCAUCUCAGAUAAAAGAGAAAUUCAGCACUUGGAGUUUGAGUCUAGAAAUAAUUUUACAGCUGUUUUGCACACACGAGUUUGAAACUCAGCCUUUGGUGGAAGAUUCCAAGACAGGUCUCUCUCAUUUGCAGUGGAGUAGUGGGACAUACUACAUAUCUGCAUGGUGCUCCUUCCAGACUGUUCUCCUAUGGUGUGAUGGUACAUGACAUGCAUAUCACUGAUUGUCCAUGAGGUCAGAGGAUUUGAAAGAACUCUUCCUUUCUCUAGUCUUAAUAUUCACCCUUACACCUGGUUGACCCUCUUUCAUCCCACAUGACUUUCAAUUAUUCCUGUAGGUGAAGUUAUUUUGAUAUUUAGAUACUUUGAUAUUUAGAUACUUAGAUAUUUUGAUACCAGAAACUCAGAACAAGGUUUUGUUCUCCCAUCACCUCAGCUGAUGUCUCAUACACAAAAGAAACAGAUUCCAGCAUGUUUAGCCAAAAAAUCCUGCAAGAGUUACCACAAGGCACAUUAGAGAGACUGGAUUUUGCAUGUAUUUACAAUUCGGGACAUAGUACACUUGUUAUUUCUCUUGCUUGCCCUUCCCACCCCUCUAAAGGAGAAAGGCAGUUGCUAAUGCAAAAUUUUACUUCAGGUUUGUGGAAAUCACGGAACAGUGAAUAAAAUGUGUUACAGGUUUUCUAAAAAGGCAGUUGUCUCUAGA